GACCCACUGGGGCUUCUGGCCACCGCCGGAGCUGUUGCCGAGCCGGUUCGAAAUCGCAGCUGCCUCAUUUGGUUAUUUUGCUGUUUAUGCUGCUGCAAAAAUGUGUGGGGCUGUGCUUUGAAGCUGCCUUUGAUUUUGAGUUGAGGCGAAGGACUUAUGAGGCGUUUGGAUUAUGGAAUUGCGUUUUGAGGAUAUGGGCGCAGAAGUUACGAAGAGCUUAUUUAAUUGUUGUUGUGAUGCUCU